rnacentral:rRNA from 1 species
UACAGAGGGUGCGAGCGUUGUCCGGAAUCACUGGGCGUAAAGCGUCCGCAGGUGGCUAUGUAAGUCUGCUGUUAAAGAGUGAGGCUCAACCUCAUAAGAGCAGUGGAAACUACAUGGCUAGAGUGCGUUCGGGGCAGAGGGAAUUCCUGGUGUAGCGGUGAAAUGCGUAGAGAUCAGGAAGAACACCGGUGGCGAAAGCGCUCUGCUAGGCCGCAACUGACACUCAUGGACGAAAGCUAGGGGAGCGAAUGGG